UACGAAGGGGGCUAGCGUUGUUCGGAAUUACUGGGCGUAAAGCGUGCGCAGGCGGCUGCUCAAGUCAGGGGUGAAAGCCCAGAGCUCAACUCUGGAAUUGCCUUUGAGACUGAGUGGCUUGAGUACGGGAGAGGUGAGUGGAAUUCCCGAGUGUAGAGGUGAAAUUCGUAGAUAUUGGGAAGAACACCGGUGGCGAAGGCGGCUCACUGGCCCGUAACUGACGCUCAUGCACGACAGCGUGGGGAUCAAACAGG
rnacentral:rRNA from 1 species